rnacentral:rRNA from 1 species
UACGUAGGCAGCAAGCGUUGUUCGGAAUUACUGGGCGUAAUGAGUGUGUAGGCGGUGCUCUAAGUUUGGUGUGAAAUCUCCCGGCUCAACUGGGAGGGUGCGCCGAAAACUGGAAUGCUUGAACGUGGGAGAGGAAAGCGGAAUUCCUGGUGUAGCGGUGAAAUGCGUAGAUAUCAGGAGGAACACCUGCGGUGUAGACGGCUUUCUGGACCAUUGUUGACGCUGAGACACGAAAGCGUGGGUAGCAAACAGG